AUACGUAGGGGGCGAGCGUUGUCCGAAUUUACUGGGCGUAAAGCGCGCGUAGGCGGGUUCUUAAGUUGGUGGUGAAAUCCCGAGGCUCAACCUCGGAACUGCCUCCAAAACUGGGAGCCUUGAGGCAUGGAGAGGGAAGUGGAAUUCCUGGUGUAGCGGUGAAAUGCGUAGAUAUCAGGAGGAACACCCGUGGCGAAGGCGGCUUCCUGGCCUUGUCCUGACGCUGAGGUGCGAAAGCUAGGGGAGCGAACGGGAUUAGAUACCCCGGUAGUCCUAGCCGUAAACGAUGGAUACUAGGUGUUAGUGGUAUCGACCCCACUAGUGCCGAAGCUAACGCAUUAAGUAUCCCGCCUGGGGAGUACGGCCGCAAGGCUGAA
rnacentral:rRNA from 1 species